rnacentral:rRNA from 1 species
CCUACGGGAGGCAGCAGUGGGGAAUAUUGGACAAUGGGGGGAACCCUGAUCCAGCCAUGCCGCGUGUGUGAAGAAGGCCCUCGGGUUGUAAAGCACUUUCAGUGAGGAAGAACGCCUGGUGGUUAAUACCCAUCAGGAAAGACAUCACUCACAGAAGAAGCACCGGCUAACUCCGUGCCAGCAGCCGCGGUAAUACGGAGGGUGCGAGCGUUAAUCGGAAUUACUGGGCGUAAAGCGCGCGUAGGUGGCUUGAUAAGCCGGUUGUGAAAGCCCCGGGCUCAACCUGGGAACGGCAUCCGGAACUGUCAAGCUAGAGUGCAGGAGAGGAAGGUAGAAUUCCCGGUGUAGCGGUGAAAUGCGUAGCGAUCGGGAGGAAUACCAGUGGCGAAGGCGGCCUUCUGGACUGACACUGACACUGAGGUGCGAAAGCGUGGGUAGCAAACAGGAUUAGAUACCCUGGUAGUA